rnacentral:rRNA from 1 species
CCUACGGGUGGCAGCAGUGGGGAAUAUUGGGCAAUGGGCGCAAGCCUGACCCAGCAACGCCGCGUGAAGGAAGAAGGCUUUCGGGUUGUAAACUUCUUUUAAGAGGGAAGAGCAGAAGACGGUACCUCUUGAAUAAGCCACGGCUAACUACGUGCCAGCAGCCGAGGUAAUACGUAGGUGGCAAGCGUUGUCCGGAUUUACUGGGUGUAAAGGGCGUGCAGCCGGGAAGACAAGUCAGAUGUGAAAGCCCGAGGCUCAACCGCGGAACUGCAUUUGAAACGGGUUUUCUUGAGUACCGGAGAGGUCAUCGGAAUUCCUUGUGUAGCGGUGAAAUGCGUAGAUAUAAGGAAGAACACCAGUGGCGAAGGCGGAAGACUGGACGGCAACUGACGGUGAGGCGCGAAAGCGUGGGGAGCAAACAGGAUUAGAUACCCUAGUAGUC